AACCGUGGUCGGUCAAGUGGGAGUCCAGUGCCUUCACCACCAUGCCACCUGCCGGCUCCCCUCAGCAAUCUUUAUGGGCUAGGUGUGAUAGAGAGAGAGAGAGAGAGAGAGAGAAUGAGCGAGGGGCCUGCCCUUGCGGGCUCGCAUUGUCCACGAGGGCUGCACAGACGCCGGCAUGUGUGUACACCGCAUGCAGCACGGCCGAGGAAGGCCUGUCCGAGGCAAGCGUGAGUGAGGCCUGAAGUAAAGUGAACAUCCAGAGCCUUCCAGCCGAAGGAGAACGGGCCGGAGGGAAGGGAGGAGGUGUGGCGGGCCGCUGGCUGCUGCCCGGUGCCCGCGCACAUUAACAAUCCACACACCGGGCGGUAGGGUUGGGCUUCACAGGCGACAAAGUCGGAACCGCCUGGACCUCAGCAAAGACAGUAAGACCCAAAACGUGGCCACAGCAGCCUAACACUCCUGCCUUGAUUUAAGGCAGCAAAGCCAAAGAGGGCCUGUGCUUCCUCCAUGGGGACAGCCUGUGAGGGAGUAUUCUGACCGCGAGUGGUCAGAAAACCCGGUUUGGGCCCAGGUCUUACGAUGUCACGGAGACUCAGUGUCUUCAGCUGUGAAAUGGGGAGAAUCCCCAAGCCCACAGCUCUCCCUGAGCACAUGAGGUGCUGGGCUCGAAGGCACUCGGUAAGCCUCGCCACCCUGGAGGUCGCCGUGAGCACAUUUGGAGCCUUCGCGCCCCAGAAGCAGAGGUGUUAUGCAAUCCCAUUCCUGCCACACGGCCUCGCGCUGAGCUCUCAAUAAAUGCUUGCUGAACUGAAAAGCAGUAAAAAUAACCUGGGAAAACAUUCUGCCAUUUUUUUCCGACUAUUAAACUGUAGCACUUUGCCAGAAUGUUCCAGAACAGUCUCCACGGCAAUCGUUUGUUUUGGGGGGAGGGGUGGGAGGAGGAGGACCCAACCGAGCCACAUCAGGGCAGCAGAUAAACACCAGGAUGGGGCUGGAGCAUGGCCCAAGGGACUACUCGCUCUCUGUGCCACCCCAGCCCUUCUCAAACCUCCUGAGGGAGCCAGCAGUUGGCGUAGACGUUAAGGCAGCUGGAUCCCACAAGGCCAACCGAGCAGCUCGAGUCUCCGACCUGGGAGACUUGCAAAAUCAUGCCAGGCAUGUGAGCAUGUGUGUGUAAGACCCCAAGAGGAGACUAGAGGAGAAGGGACUGUGAUGCGGCCAUCCCCCACACACACACACACCCCGCAGGAGUAAUUUUGCACUUUCCCCUCUGGUGAGUACACACGCUCUAUAACAAAAAACAAUCAAACGAAUCCUGGAGGCCAGACCAGUCCACCAGCAGAAGGAACUGUGGGCCACCUGAGGACAGGACGAGGUCUCUUGGAAAAGCCAAAGAAAUGGACAACGUCCCCGCGUCCCACUGUGAGUGCAGACGCCAUGACCUAGUCCAGCCACCUCACUACAUGGACAAGGCUCAGGCCGAGUAGUAGGCUCGUUCGUGGGACGUCGCCUUUGUCAUCUUCCCCUUUUGAUUUUUUUGACGGAGUAAUACAUUCAUCCCCUCAUUUCAAAACCCAAAAGCUUAAGAAGCUAUAAUGUCAAGUCUCUCCUUCCGAUGCUAGCCUCUGCCUGCCAAGUGAACUACCCCACCUGCUAGGAUCCCAUUGGCGUGUUUAAACACGUGAUGUAGGAAAUUGAAAGUCGUCCUCUCCUCCCUUUGACCCACAACGAGCACAGUAUGCCGACCCUCGCCUUGCCAUCUUUCCGCGGGGUUGGCGAAGCUGAGUAAUAACAACCUGGUUUCGAACUCGCAGCUGCGUAGUGUUCCACUGUGUCGACGUGCUGUCAUUUCCCCUAACCUGGCCCUGGCUGAAGUGCUUCGGAGUUGCUUCCCACUUUUUACUAUCCUAAAGUCGAGGAAGACUUUCUGGAGAAGGGGCCCUCUCAGGAGCUGUUUGAAUGAGGGAGGGCCGCCGUCAGCACCACUGCUACAGAGCGGGCAACAGGAUGUACAUACUUAUACGAGCUGUAUGUGAAUAAAGGAUGCAAAAACCAGAAAAAGGCGAGGCACGCUAGCUGAGAGUGUGUGUGCACCCACCCAGAGGUGUCGCCAUCAGGGACUCACCCCAGCCCUGGGGAAACGAAGCUACAGGCUUGUCUCCGUGGCUUCAUGUGAAGCGUGGCUCACUCACCAUUCAGGGGGUGGUGGAAGUACCUGGCUCCUCCUGCUCCUGGGGUGCUUACUGGGAGCCCAGUGCAGUGCCGAGCUCUGCAGCUGCAGUGAGUGCUGGCUAGGGUGCUCUAGCAGAACGGACCAUCACACACCAACAGCUAACAUUUACUGCACACUUGCUGUGUCCAGAUGGGGUGCACUGUCACACCGGGCCCUAGGUGAAGACUGCCCAGGUGUCAUGGCUGGAAGUCGGGGACAGAACGCGUACCCGGGCAGGGAGGGGGCACCAGUCCGCGCGUGCCACAGUCGUCCCUGACUGGGUGCUGGCCCUGGAGCACACUAAAAGUGGAAGGAGAAAGCACAGAGGAGGGGAUUCAGAGGGCAUCGUGCGGAACAGGACUCAGGAUGACUCUCACUGUGGCGGGGGUGGGAAAGACAGGACGCGCGGAGAAUGGCUUCGGCACAUGGGACCCAGGGACGGGCCCGUGCAAGACGGAGUCACUACUGACCCUCAGUGGAGAGACGGCGGAGCUGCAGAGGGCACUCUCCCCUCCCAUUCCCCCAAACCACAAAAUAAAUUUAGGAACCUCAAGGCCUUCGAUGUUUUUCAAAUAUUAACAAGUUAAUGAAAUCAACAUAUGGGUCAAGGCCAGCAAGUUUUCUUCUCAAUGAAUCAAAAGACGUUUGACACAUAGCAGGGGAAUGUGCUGUCAUGCGGACAUGUCAUGGGAGUGCCUGUGGACAGCAGUCCAAAACACACUUGUUACUGUUGGGACCAGAGAGUCCAAGCCUUCCCCAGGCCCCGGGCCCCGUCCCCCAGACAAGAACAUGCCUCUCACAAAGGAUCAUCCCUCUCCAAGAGAGGAGGAAACAGAAGAAGCUGUGCCCAGUGCAGAGUCCCACGGCUACUUCAUGGGUGAGACAGCCAGGACGCCGGUGCGGCACUGGGGCC